CCUACGGGAGGCAGCAGUGAGGAAUAUUGGUCAAUGGACGAGAGUCUGAACCAGCCAAGUAGCGUGAAGGAUGACUGCCCUAUGGGUUGUAAACUUCUUUUAUAUGGGAAUAAAAUGUUCCACGUGUGGGAUUUUGUAUGUACCAUAUGAAUAAGGAUCGGCUAACUCCGUGCCAGCAGCCGCGGUAAUACGGAGGAUCCGAGCGUUAUCCGGAUUUAUUGGGUUUAAAGGGAGCGUAGGUGGAUUGUUAAGUCAGUUGUGAAAGGUUGCGGCUCAACCGUAAAAUUGCAGUUGAAACUGGCAGUCUUGAGUACAGUAGAGGUAGGCGGAAUUCGUGGUGUAGCGGUGAAAUGCUUAGAUAUCACGAAGAACUCCGAUUGCGAAGGCAGCCUGCUGGACUGUAACUGACGCUGAUGCUCGAAAGUGUGGGUAUCAAACAGGAUUAGAUACCCUUGUAGUC
rnacentral:rRNA from 1 species